rnacentral:rRNA from 1 species
GAUGAACGCUGGCGGCGUGCCUAAUACAUGCAAGUCGAGCGAAGCGGGGACGGGGGAGUGACACAUGGAGAAACUCCUAUAAGACGGGGAUAACUUCGGGAAACAGGAGCUUAACCGGAAACGUAGAGAUGGAUCGUCGCUGCAUUAGCUAGUUGAUAAGGUAACGGCUUACCAAGGCAACGAUGCAUAGCCGACCUGAGAGGGCGACCGGCCACACUGGAACUGAGACACGGCCCAGACUCCUACGGGAGGCAGCAGUAGGGAAUUUUCGGCAAUGGGCGAAAGCCUGAUGGAGCCAGGCCGCGUGAGUGAUGAAGGUCUUCGGAUCGUAAAACUCUUUUAUUAGGGAAGCGGUACCUAAUCAGAAAGCCACGGCUAACUACGUGCCAACAGCCGCGGUAAUAC